rnacentral:rRNA from 1 species
GACGAACGCUGGCGGCGCGCUUAACACAUGCAAGUCGAGCGAAGCGGCGGACGGGUGAGUAACACGUGAGUAACCUGACUUAGACAUUGGGAUAGCCACGGGAAACAGGGAUGAAUACAAAAUGGUCUAAGAUGGACUCGCGUCCCAUUAGCUAGUUGGUGGGUAACGGCCCACCAAGGCGACGAUGGGUAGCCGGCCUGUGAGGUUGAAGGUCCACAUUUGAACUGGGAAACGUUCCAAACUCUCCGGUAGGCAGCAGUUGGGAAUAUUGCACAAUGGAGGGAACUCUGAUGCAGCGACGCCGCGUGAACCAAGAAGGCUUUCGAGUCGUAAAGUUCUUUUAUAUGGGAAGCGGUACCAUAAGAAAAAGCCCCGGCUAACUACGUGCCAGCAGCCGCGGUAAUUC